GACGGGAAAAGGCUGGCCUGGUUUUAAUCUCCCUUCAUAGUUUCCAUCUCUUACGCCGUCACCUGCUUCACCCGCAGGGACAACAAACCCAAUAAAAAAGAGCACUAAAAUAAAACAAAGGUGGGACCUUUCCCCGUCUUUUCUCUCCUCUCUCUCUCUCUCUCCCCCCCCCUGCCCCCCCAACCUUUCUCUCUCUGGAGCUCUGGAGCUCUUAGAUCUUUUAGGGUUUUGAGCAAGGGUUUUAGGACAGGGUCAGGGAUGAUGCAGAGGAAUCCAGCAGCUGGCGGCAUCUACGUGAACGGAGGAGCAAUGGAUGAAAAUGUUAUCGGAGGUCUGAUCAACAGCAUUUCUCGGUUUAUCCAUCUUGUUGGUUGCCAGACUGCAAAAUCUACACUUCUGAAAGACUUCAAAAGUAUAGUUGGCAUAUUGAAGCUCUUGAAGCCCAUACUCCAUGAAGCAUUUGAUUCUCAAAUACCUUCAGACGAACACCUCAUAAAAGCAUUCGAGGAAUUAGAUGUAGCUGUUAAUGAGGCUAGAGAAUUUAUGGAGAAACAACACCAGAGGGUGGGCAGGAUAUAUAGUGUUUUACAAAGUGAGCCAAUGGUGUUGAAGGUUCAGAAGUCAUCUAUAGAGAUAUGUCAUGUCUUGAGUGAAUUGUUACAAUCAUCUCAUUAUACUUCUUAUUUAGCAAGCAUCCAGCACUGCUUGCAGGAACUUCAAUGCAUGCAGCAGGACCUAACAUCGGAACUCAUUGAAAAUGCUCUGAAAGAUCAAAGAGAUUAUGUCAUACCCAGUCUAGAAGAUAUUAUAAAGAUCAUGGAUACACUUGGUUUGGCAUCAAACCAGGAACUCCUGAUGGAAAGUAUAGCUCUGGAGAAGGAGAGAGCAAAGGCUGAGCUCAAAGAAAAGACUGAGGAUGCAGACCACAUAAGUCAGAUAAUUGCACUAGUUGUUCACAUGCGUUAUUGCGUCGCAAAACUUGAGCAGUUUGGGUUUAUAAAUGGGCUACCCAUCCCUUCACAUUUUCGUUGCCCUCUCUCUUUGCAACUCAUGCUGGAUCCCGUAAUUGUGGCCUCAGGUCAAACAUAUGAAAGAUCUUUUAUACAGAAGUGGCUGGAUAGUGGCCUGAGAAUUUGUCCCAGGACGCAUCAAAUCCUCUCCCAUACAAAUCUUAUACCAAAUUUCACGGUCAAGGAGUUGAUUGCAAAUUGGUGUGAACACAACAACAUAAGGUUAAGCAAUUCUGUUCAAUCUGAUUGUAUCUCAAAUCCCUUCUUAUCUAAUGCAAUGCUGGAAGACUUCAGGCCUGAGAAUAAUUUACAUGGUUCACUGCAUAGAGAUUCGACCUCCACACCCUCUUUUGAAUGUGUAAAUCAAACAGAACAGCAAAUUACUGAGGUGUCAUCUGGAUGUGGUGAAGAGUCUUCCCUUAUUAGCCACCAUCAGAAAUUGGCAGGUAAGGUUACUAUGCAAGGCAAUCUGUCGCAUGAACAGCAGUGUAGCUGUCAUAGUCAUAGUGAAUCCAUCUCAAGUGUUGUUUCUAGCAUUGAAAUAUCGAGUAGGUUCAAUGAAAAAGUCAGUCUUUUGGGAGAAGUCCCGCAUCCUUCAUCUUCUCCAUUGAAUAAAGAUAUGGGGUUUUCCCCGCGAUUUUCCCCACCCGAACUUUCUGGCUUCAGGAAUGGACAUGCAAAUAUUUGCGCAAGUCAGUUGUCGCUCCCUAGAUCAGGAUCAGAUGAGCUUACCACCUCUUCCCAUGUUCAGAAAUUAAUCGAGGAUCUGAAGAGUCAAGCUCCUGAAGUGCAGACAGCUGCUGCAUCAGAGCUGAGACUUCUUGCAAAGCAUAACAUGGAAAACCGUGUUCUAAUUGCAAAAUAUGGGGCUAUCCCUCCACUAGUUUCCUUGCUAUAUUCCAAGGUAAAAAGGGUACAGGAAAUUGCUGUUACCGCUCUGCUGAAUUUGUCCCUUAAUGAUAAUAAUAAGGUUUCCAUAGCAGAGGCAGGAGCUAUUGAACCACUUAUCUAUGUUCUGGAAUGUGGAAGCACAGAAGCCAAAGAGAACUCAGCAGCUGCUUUGUUCAGCCUCUCAAUUCUGGAGGACUACAAAGUUAAGAUUGGACGUUCUGGUGCAAUUAAGGCAUUAGUUAAUCUUUUAGGUUCUGGAAGCCUUAGAGGAAAGAAAGAUGCUGCUACUGCCUUAUUCAAUCUGUCAAUCUUCCAUGAGAACAAGGCACGGAUAGUCCAAGCUGGUGCAGUUAGGUAUCUUGUUGAGCUGAUGGAUCCUAGCACAGGAAUGGCGGACAAAUCAGUGGCACUAUUGGCUAAUCUUUCUACAGUUCCUGAGGGCCGCUUGGCUGUCAGCCAAGAAGGUGGCAUUCCCCUGCUAGUUGAGAUUGUUGAGACAGGUUCUCAAAGGGGAAAGGAGAAUGCAGCAUCUGCUUUGUUGCAACUCUGCCUCCACAGCCACAAAUUCUGCAGCCUGGUCUUGCAAGAAGGAGCUGUGCCACCUCUUAUUGCAUUGUCUCAAUUUGGAACACCCAGAGCCAAAGAAAAGGCACAACAGAUCCUUGGUCACUUCCGAAGUCAGCGUGAGGGGAUGGUGCGCAAACCGUAGUAAUGAUUUCUUCUAUCUGGCUUGCGGUUUAUAAUUAGCACAGGAUGAAGCCGAUACAAGGGGAAGCUGAAAGGAUGCAGAGCAAACAUGGGAAUACCGAACCUGUUGUCUUGCAAAACUAGAAAGCAUCAUUUUCGAAAUGGGCAGAUGAAAUGUUGGAGCUAUAGUAGCAGCGAAGAAGGUGGUGGAAGACCAGCUGAUGUCUCCGAAGUAGGCAAUGGAGAUCUGGAAGUUUGCUUUCGAGGAUAAAAGUAGAGAGUGAAAUAUCUUGGUGUAAACUCA